CCGGAAGAGUUCCAAGUGUAUGGAUUCCUCUCGGCAAGCUUGGCCUCUUGGAUCCCGCCGCUUUCGAUCGCAGGAGGCCCAGAAGCUCUGGUAUCACGAUGAGGACGUUUGUGAGGUAACUCUCCGGACUUCGUCAGAAUCAACGCUGUGGACGGUCGAAGAAGAAAACGAUCUUUCCAGACCCUGACUCGCAGUGAGCACAUACAACCCUCUAUAUCUUUUCUUGCGUUUAAGGUACACUUACUAAGAUCAACUAGAACUUAGAUUUCCGAGGUCCUAGCAAAUCUAUCAUAGUACAGGUCCACAGAACACCAUGUUUCCAUUGAUGUUUGUAAUAAAGAUGUUGAGGCA